rnacentral:rRNA from 1 species
CGGACGGGUGAGUAACACGUGGAUAACCUACCUAUAAGACUGGGAUAACUUCGGGAAACCGGAGCUAAUACCGGAUAAUAUUUUGAACCGCAUGGUUCAAAAGUAAAAGACGGUCUUGCUGUCACUUAUAGAUGGAUCAGCGCUGCAUUAGCUAGUUGGUAAGGUAACGGCUUACCAAGGCAACGAUGCAUAGCCGACCUGAGAGGGUGAUCGGCCACACUGGAACUGAGACACGGUCCAG